GACGAACGCUGGCGGCGUGCCUAAUACAUGCAAGUAGAACGCUGAAGGAGGAGCUUGCUUCUCUGGAUGAGUUGCGAACGGGUGAGUAACGCGUAGGUAACCUACCUGGUAGCGGGGGAUAACUAUUGGAAACGAUAGCUAAUACCGCAUAAGAGUAGAUGUCGCAUGACAUUUGCUUAAAAGGUGCAAUUGCAUCACUACCAGAUGGACCUGCGUUGUAUUAGCUAGUUGGUGAGGUAACGGCUCACCAAGGCAACGAUACAUAGCCGACCUGAGAGGGGGAUCGGCCAAACUGGGACUGAGACACGGCCCAGACUCCUACGGGAGGCAGCAGUAGGGAAUCUUCGGCAAUGGACGGAAGUCUGACCGAGCAACGCCGCGUGAGUGAAGAAGGUUUUCGGAUCGUAAAGCUCUGUUGUAAGAGAAGAACGAGUGUGAGAGUGGAAAGUUCACACUGUGACGGUAUCUUACCAGAAAGGGACGGCUAACUACGUG
rnacentral:rRNA from 1 species